GGUGGUCCCACCUGACCCCAUGCCGAACUCAGAAGUGAAACGCCGUAGCGCCGAUGGUAGUGUGGGGUCUCCCCAUGUGAGAGUAGGGAACUGCCAGAC
rnacentral:rRNA from 5 species